CUACGGGAGGCAGCAGUGGGGAAUCUUCCACAAUGGACGAAAGUCUGAUGGAGCAACGCCGCGUGAGCGAUGAAGGAUUUCGGUCUGUAAAACUCUGUUGUUCAUGACGAACGUCUCUGAGGUGAAUAAUCUCAGGGAGUGACGGUAGUGAACGAGGAAGCCACGGCUAACUACGUGCCAGCAGCCGCGGUAAUACGUAGGUGGCGAGCGUUGUCCGGAAUUAUUGGGCGUAAAGAGCAUGUAGGCGGCUUUUUAAGUCGGUCGUGAAAAUGCGGGGCUUAACCCCGUAUUGCGGUCGAAACUGGAGGGCUUGAGUGCAGGAGAGGAAAGGGGAAUUCCCAGUGUAGCGGUGAAAUGCGUAGAUAUUGGGAGGAACACCAGUGGCGAAGGCGCCUUUCUGGACUGUGUCUGACGCUGAGAUGCGAAAGCCAGGGUAGCAAACGGGAUUAGAAACCCCGGUAGUCC
rnacentral:rRNA from 1 species